GAUGAACGCUGGCGGCGUGCCUAAUACAUGCAAGUCGAGCGAACAGACGAGGAUCUUGCUCCUCUGACGUUAGCGGCGGACGGGUGAGUAACACGUAGAUCGCCUACCUAUAAGCCUCAACUAACUUCGAGAAACCGGAGCUAAUACCUGAUAACCUGUUGAACCGCAUGGUUCAACAGUUGAUGGCGAUCUUGCUGUCACUUAUAGAUGGAUCCGGGCCGCCUUAGCUAGUUGGUAUGGUAACGGCAUACCAAGGCAACGAUGCGUAGCCGACCUGGGAGGGUGAGCGGCCACACUGGAACUGAGACACGAUACAGACCAGUACGGGAGGCAGCAGAAGGGAAUGGUACGCAGUGGGAGAAAGCCUGACGGAGCGACGCCGCGUGAGGGAAGAAGGGCUUCGGUUCGGAAAGCUAUGUUAUUAGGGAAGAAAAAAAGUGUAAGGAACGAUGCACGGCUGGAGGGAACCGAAGCAGAAGGCCACGGCUAACUACGG
rnacentral:rRNA from 1 species